rnacentral:lncRNA from 1 species
CGCCAUGGCUAAAAAUAAAAAAGACAAACAGACAAACAAUAGUACACAUGACACAACAUAGAAAACUAAAGAAUAAACAACACGAACCCCACCAAAAACUAGGGGUGAUCUCAGGUGCCCCGGAAGGGUAAGCAGAUCCUGCUCCACAUGUGGCACCCGUCGUGUUGCUUAUGUGAUAACAAAUCCGGUAAAUAGUCUAAUUCGGU